rnacentral:snoRNA from 1 species
GCGAGGUGACGAUAGAAAUUCAUUGGUCUGUCAAUCCACUGAAUAAACAUAACUUUGAUGUUACUAUGAAUCCCGACAGGUUCUGAUCGC